GACGAACGCUGGCGGCGUGCUUAACACAUGCAAGUCGAACGAAGUGGCGAACGGGUGAGUAACGCGUAAUCAACCUGCCCUUCAGAGGGGGACAACAGUUGGAAACGACUGCUAAUACCGCAUACUGAAGGAGGGGCUGGCGUCUGAUUAGCUAGUUGGAGGGGUAACGGCCCACCAAGGCGAUGAUCAGUAGCCGGUCGGAGAGUAUGAACGGCCACAUUGGGACUGAGAAACGGCCCAGAAUCCGACGGGAGGCAGCAGUGGGGAAUCUUCCGCAAUGGACGAAAGUCUGACGGAGCAACGCCGCGGGAGUGAUUACGGCCUUCGGGUUGUAAAGCUCUGUUAAUCGGGACGCGGUACCGGAAUAGAAAGCCACGGCUAACUACGUGCCAGCAGCCGCGGUAAUAC
rnacentral:rRNA from 1 species